ensembl:lncRNA
GACCAUGCUGCUCUGCUUCCCUUCUCUCUGCCUCUAGGCAGCUUCUUGCUUCAUGGUUAAAUGUCCCUGAGCAAGGAGCCUGGGCCAAUCCUGCUGGGGCUGGACCUGGAGGCCCGCCCCAGGGAGGAGGGACUGAGCCCUGGCCCAGAUGCAAAGGCGGCCUGAAUCGCCGGUCUUGAGACGUGUCUGUGAGUGCAAACCUUCAGAUUUGUCAGCCCAACAUGUGAGCAAAGGCUUUCAAAACCUCCAGGGGUGAUGCGCAUGCUGGUGCACUUGGGAAAUGUUAUUUUGGCACCUGUCAUUCUCACCACGAUAUUUUAAAUACUUUUUGAAACAGAGCUUUAUUUUAUAAAAAAGCUAACCAGCAAGCAAGAAAAAAAAAAAAAGAAACCAAAACAAAAACUCAAAUCAACAUGAAGGAAUGAGGCUUUCUUUUCCAUGGUGUGUUUCUUCCCAAGCUUUCUAAAUCUGCCAGGACAUCUGAAGUACUUACUGGGUCUUGAACACAAGACCUCAGAUGCACUAAGCAAGCCCUGAGCUACACUAGCAACCUUAGUUUUUCCAUACGGUCACCAGCUUCACUGUGAGCUUCUUAUUUUAAAUAGAGAGCUUCUUGGUCCAAGUACCCUGUGGCUCAGUGUAAUAAAUAAACUUACAUCAGCUGAACAUUUGUGUACUGAUUGUCUAUUAAAUGGAACCCUUGUGUACCUUGCAUUACACUGGAUGUCUUUUUAACAUCUGACUUUGCUAUCGCAUCAGAACCGCCCCCUCCAACCCAAUCAGAAGCAAAGAUUAUGGCUUUCAUGUUUGUAUUCCCAACCACCUGGAAUCAUCCCAUUGUUGGUAACUGGAUGAAGAGAUAGAGAAAGGAGAAGAAGGAAAAGAAAGAAUUCUGUAACUCCUCCCAAAACCGAGGAGAUUCUCCCAAAACUAAUCACAUCCCUUAGUGAAAGUACUAAGGACGCAUAAGAAAUAGUUCUGAAGAUGAAGCUUCUUGUGUGAGAGGAAAUGGUUGGGUUAUGAGUCUCCAUCGUGUAGACCAGACAGAAUGUCCAGUCUACUCAGUAAAGUCCUUUGCCAAACACAGUGAAGUUGGCAUCUCAUGAUCAGAGAAGGAACUGUGCAAAAACAGCAUGUGUUGUCACCUGGCCUGCUGCUGUGUGGGCUAGACUUUUGUAGGAAGUGAGCUUACACUAGAAUUUCCUUUGCUAAUCCUAUGAGAUCCAUUGACCUUGCCAGCCAUCCAAAGCAUGUGAUGUCUGAACUCAGGACCGUGUUCUCUGGGCCAAGUCCGAAGUCCGAAUCACCUUCUCGGUGGGACGAGGAUGAGCAGCAUGGGCUUUCCCCUCUCAAGUACAAUUUGACGAAUGCUCGGGAGUACCGCAUCUGUUUGCCAUAAUGAUGAUGACUAUAAUAGCAAUAACAAGAUAUUUAUUAAGCACUCAGAAUGUGCCAACACUGUUAUAAACACUUCACAUGCUUUAGAAAAGUUAAUCUUCACAACAAUCCUAUGAGCUAAGUGGAGGGUUUUAGUAACUUUGCCAAGCGUGUGUAGCUGAGAAGUGGUAGGGCUGGACAGUGACAUAGGCAGCGACAUUUUGUCUCCUCAUGUUCCUUCCAUCUACCACAUACCCCUUGAUAUCGCUUUUGACAAUAUAUCAUGAGAGCCUUCUGACUGCACUGAGCCUAACAACUCCUUUGAAUCCAUCAAGAACCACUUCGGGAAAUCUGCGAGUUCCCCUAAAUUUCUCUUGUGCUUCCUAGGUACUUGGCACAUGCUGCUAUCACACUAAAUUUCAUUGUGUAUUUAUAUAUUUGCCUCUCUCACCAAACUGUGAGCUCCACGAGGGAGAAUACAGAUAAUACCACUCUUCUUUUUCCUCCUCGUCCCCAGGACUUGAUCUGGGUCAAUGUCUAUAGAAAUGUUUUGUGAAUGAAUAAAGAAAGAAUACAUAAGACAACUCAAGUUGUGUGAACAGAGUCAAAGUUCAGUCAGCAGAACAAAACUCUGAGCAGCCCGAGUAGAUGGCAUGGCGUGCGUGCUCUAUGGUGCAGAGAUCCUCAGAGAAGCACAGAUCCAAGGCACUGAGCUGUUCCUCUUCAUCUUUCUCAUGGAACUGCCUCAACCCCUCUCCAAGGAUAUGGUUUCACUGCAGCAACACCAUCCUGGGAUCAACCCCUUUCCUCCACCCUCUCGUGGCUGGUCCACAGUCCAGGAAAGCUCCCAAGCCGCACUGAGCCUAAGAACUUCACUUGGAAGCGGUUACUAUCAGGAAUGGAGGAGAUGUCAGUCCAAGAACCGUUGGAAGUGGUUACUUUCCACCAUAUGGGCCGAAGCCAAAAGAGCCUGUUUGUAGCAAGUGUGAAAAAUGAGAAGAAAACAUAAGUGGAUGGAAAUCACCCUCCAGCUACCCUGCUUUGAGAAAGAACAUCAAACAUAUAAAAGAGUAUUUCCUGGAGGCUAAGGGUGGGUGUGCUACGGCGUCCAGGAAGAAACCUGUGGUGGGAAUCAGGGCUGAAGUUCUGCUGUCGGCUCUGUGUCGCUUGUGUGCUUUGGACAAACCUGUCACCCUCCAGUUUUCAAGGGUUCCUUUCAAUCCAAUGAUGUGAUUGGGGCUCAGAGAUUUUCGGCUUUUCUCAGUGGUGGAGUCUUUGGUUGAAAUAAAUUCUUAGGAGAAGAUCAAGAUAUAAAUCCGAUACAAAGAAAAAUAAAGAGACCCAUGGGUGGGGUGAUGAGCUGGAAUCUUGCUUGGCCAUCCUCCGCAGCUUCCAUUUCCCCUCACUGGGGCUUCCUGAGACAAUGUCAGAAACCCAGCUAAUACUGUGAGAUGCUUUCAGAUAUUACUGUAAGGGCGUAAUAGUUACACUCGAGCCUUCAGACAGAAACUACAUACUGAGUUCCCUCGCACAUCUGUGGACCCAGUUGCUAGAAAUGGAGCGACCAGUGAAGCUGCAUUCCUUACACUGAUUCUUUCAAUGCCUCAGAUAUUUCAAAUUUUUCCAGCUUUGGGCCUAUUCAUCAGGAGUUCACUCUUCCAAAAAUACACUGCCUCCAUAUUUUUGCAUGAAUAACCCCUUUCUCUUCGUUUAAAUUUUAAAUAGAUCCAAUUCCGGAGUCCUUUCCUGAGAAGCAGGCUCUUUGGGAAGAGCCUCACUGGAAUUGAUUUCUUGCAAGGCCUCAGAAGAAGCUCAGCAAUACGCUCACACACUGUACGUUUUUGUGAAAUUUGUGAGAGUCAGAUAUUCCAACAGCAAUCCAUUAUGAUCAUUCUUUUUGUUCUCUCACCUUCCCCUCUGUCACAUUUCCUUCAUGGUGGGUGGCUUUUGAAAUCUUCAUUUCUCAUUUUCUUCAUCUUCAAAAUGAGAAAAAGAAUAGUAUCUACACCCGAGUGGUGUUUCAAGGGUUAAAUAUAUUCAUACAGGAAAAUUGCUUGGAACAGGGCCUGAUGGGCAGGAAAUGCUUACUGUCUUAUUAUUUUCACUUAUUUAGAAAUCAACAAAAUAGUAGAUUACUGAAUUCAAGUCCUAGCUGGACCUUUGAAGACCAUAAGUAAAUUGUGACUAUUAAGAAUAUCAAAGAAGGCAAGGCCUAAACUCCUCCCUCUCGAGUUGAUGCAGUGAAAGCCCAGAGAAUGAAAUUGUUUGUCCAAAUCUUGCAGCUAGGGAGGGUGCAAGGUGAGACUGAUGCCCAGGUCUGCUGAUGGAAAGUCUGUCAUCGGAUGGAAGGAAAGAAGCCUGCUGGGAGAAUUUGCCCAAGCCUCUACUGACCUCUUUCUCACACUCAGUCCUGUGGAUUCCAGCUGCUUAGCAACAGCUAGAGAAGAACUGGGGUGUCCCAAACAGCCUGCUGGGCACUGACAGAAGCUAUGACUAAGGUCCCUCACACCACUGUGUAUCCAGUUGUUAGAAAAUGGAGCGGCCAGUGAAGCUGGCCAGAACUUGUGACUCCUAUUGCCACCAAACUGAUUUUGCAUAAGGCGGACGUGCAUUUUAGAAUUUGGGUAAAUUCGUUUUGAGGCUACUGCUUCUUUCUAAGGUACCAGCAGGAUGCAGAAGCAGAUCGUAGAAGUUAUAACCGGAUCUCAUUAUCACACACAAGGAUCAACUCCAGAGGGUAGGAGAUCUCUCUAUAAAGAAUAAAUUCAUACUCUGGGAGGGGGACUGCAAGAUGGAGCUCGGCCUGGGAAACUGAGUGAGACCCUAUCUCAAAAUAAAAAAUAAUAAAAGAAAAAGGGCUACAUGUAGCUCAGUGCUCAGGCACCAGGUUCAAUCCCCAGUACUGGAAAAAAUAAAAUAAAGAAUAAAACCAAAAUAUUCCUGGAAGAAUGCACGGGUGAAAUGCAGACAGCCUUGUCACUGUGUCACCAACAUCUACAUGCCAUAAAAAGGG